UACGUAGGUGGCAAGCGAUACCCGGAAUCACUAGGCGUAAAGCGCAGGUAGGCGGUUUGGUAAGUCUUUUGUGAAAGCUCCCGGCUCAACUGGGAGAGGUCAAGGGAAACUACCGGACUAGAGUGUGGUAGGGGAUACUGGAAUUCCUGGUGUAGCGGUGAAAUGCGUAGAUAUCGGGAGGAACACCAGUGGCGAAGGCGGCUUCCUGGCCUGUUCUUGACGCUGAGGCGCGAAAGCUAGGGGAGCAAACGGG
rnacentral:rRNA from 1 species